GGUAGGCAGCAGCAGAAGAAAGGUAUACAGCCUCUUGCUUUAUAUCCCCUUGAAAAUAUCAAAGUGCAAGCAAAAAACACAAAGAGAGGAAACUACAGAAGCCACACGAUAGGAAGAAGCACCACGACUUCGAGCCAGAAAGUUGGGUGUUCAAGUCUUUGUUAUUACUUAUUAUUUACCAGAUGUCAUCCCACUGUUCCUGGGUCAGUGUGAUAAUGGGAGUGAUGGGGAAAGGCAAGGUGUGUUUGGGGACCUUCCCACCCACUGGAAACCGGAGGAGUAGAGAGGAAAUAUGAAGAUAAGGUGACCAGAGACGCUACUGUGACCCCAUGGAUGUACUAUCGGACUCCAGGCUCAGACAUUUACGCUUCCAUAGGUUCAGAAACAUUCCUUAAGGAUACUGCAUGGCACAAGGUAUUUGGAUGGCCG
rnacentral:lncRNA from 1 species